UACGUAGGGCGCAAGCGUUGUCCGGAAUUAUUGGGCGUAAAGAGCUCGUAGGCGGUUUGUCGCGUCUGCUGUGAAAACCCGAGGCUCAACCUCGGGCCUGCAGUGGGUACGGGCAGACUAGAGUGUGGUAGGGGAGACUGGAAAUUCCUGGUGUAGCAGUGAAAUGCGUAGAGAUCAUGAGGGAAAGACCCAGUGGGCGAA
rnacentral:rRNA from 1 species